rnacentral:rRNA from 1 species
GAUCCUGGCUCAGGACGAACGCUGACGGCGUGGAUUAGGCACGCAAGUCGAACGAGAAAUUCCCCGCUUGCGGGGAAAAGUACAGUGGCGAACGGGUGAGUAACGCGUAGGUAUCUGCCUCGUAGACUGGGAUAGCCCCGGGAAACCGGGGGUAAUACCGGAUAUGUUUUACGAAACAAAGGUGGCCUCUGUUUACAAGCUGCCGCUAUGAGAUGAGCCUGCGUCAUAUUAGCCUGUUGGUGAGGUAGCGGCUCACCAAGGCUACGACGGCUAGGCGGUCUGAGAGGAUGGCCGCCCACAUCGGGACUGAGACACUGCCCGGACUCCUACGGGAGGCUGCAGUCGAGAAUCAUCCGCAAUGGGCGAAAGCCUGACGGUGCGACGCCGCGUGAGGGACGAAGGCCUUAGGGUUGUAAACCUCUUUCGCCUGUUAAGAAAGUACUAGGGUUAAUAGCUUUAUUGCUGACGAAAGCAGGUAAAGAAGCACCGGCUAACUCCGUGCCAGCAGCCGCGGUAAGACGGAGGGUGCAAGCGUUACUCGGAAUUACUGGGCGUAAAGGGUCCGUAGGCGGCUUGGAAAGUUGGAUGUGAAAUCCCACAGCUUAACUGUGGAACUGCGUCCAAAACUAUCAAGCUUGAGGAUGGUAGGGGACAGUGGAACUCAAGGUGGAGCGGUGAAAUGCGUAGAGAUCUUGAGGAACACCGGUGGCGAAAGCGACUGUCUGGGCCAUUCCUGACGCUGAGGGACGAUAGCUAGGGGAGCGAACGGGAUUAGAUACCCCGGUAGUCCUAUCCGUAAACGAAUGAAGCACUAGGUUGGGGGGCCUUCGGGUUUCCCUUCCGUAGCUAACGCGUUAAGUGCUCCGCCUGGGGAGUAUGCGCGCAAGCGUAAAACUCAAAGGAAUUGACGGGGGCUCACACAAGCGGAGGAGCAUGUGGUUUAAUUCGAAGCAACGCGAAGAACCUUACCAAGGCUUGACAUCUAGGGAUUAGGCCCCGGAAACGGGACUGACACUCUUCGGAGCGGAACCUAGACAGGUGUUGCAUGGCUGUCGUCAGCUCGUGUCGUGAGAUGUCGCGUUAAGUCGUUGAACGAGCGAAACCCUUGUCGUUAGUUGCCAGCGGGUAAUGCCGGGGACUCUAACGAGACUGCCGUGGUUAACACGGAGGAAGGUGGGGACGACGUCAAGUCAUCAUGGCCCUUAUGCCUUGGGCUACACACGUGCUACAAUGGUCUGUACAGAGGGUUGCUACACAGCAAUGUGAUGCUAAUCCCCAAAGCAGGCCCCAGUUCGGAUUGUAGGCUGCAACUCGCCUACAUGAAGCCGGAUUCGCUAGUAAUCGCAGGUCAGCUACACUGCGGUGAAUAUGUUCCUGAGCCUUGUACACACCGCCCGUCAAGCCACGAAAGCUGGGAGCGCCCGAAGUCGUCUGUCUAACAUUGAGGGCAGGCGCCCACGGCGAGCUCGGUGAUCGGGACUAAGUCGUAACAAGGUA